UACAGGGGGUGCAAACGUUGCUCGGAAUCAUUGGGCGUAAAGCGCACGUAGGCGGUUCGUUAUGUCGGAUGUGAAAGCCCUUGGCUUAACCGAGGAAGUGCAUCCGAAACUGGCGAGCUAGAGUACGAAAGAGGAUCGCGGAAUUCCCGGUGUAGAGGUGAAAUUCGUAGAUAGUCGGGAGGAACACCGGGUGGCGAAGGCGGCGAUCUGGGUCGAUACUGACGCUGAGGUGCGAAAGCGUGGGGAGCAAACAGG
rnacentral:rRNA from 1 species